ensembl:lncRNA
UUCAUGGUAUUCUUAUGUCAUUGAUGAGUUAUUGGUGGAUGUCAGGUUUAGAUCAUAGUUACACCAGAUAAUGUAGCGGCAUUGAGUUUUAAUGACCUCAGCUCAUGAAAAACAGGACGCUCCACUAUGCUACUGUAUGUGAUGCUAACUUUGAGAAAAUAAUGCUAUUGCUGUUUGCAUGCUCUUUUAUUGUAGUUCAAUCUAUGAAAUCAUGAGAAAACAGGAAACCAAGUUGUUGUUGUUUUUUAAAAUGUUAUUGGUGCUUUUUUUCACGAUACACAUUAAUGCUUUUGAAAUGUUUGUCAUGCAUAGUUCUCCAAAAACUCUGUAUGCUUUGAUUUUUAUCAUGUUUGCAGGGAUGAUAACAUCUCUACCUCAAAUACAAUAGCAAACAGUCCAAUACAUAUUUUCUUUUGCACACAUGUAUAAUAAAUUGGACCAUGGGAUUUUGGACAGUUGCAGAGUUCUAAUUUGAUGCUUCAAUAUUGUUUAUUUAUAUGAUUUCUAUCUAUGGCUCACACAAAGCUUAUAAAAUUUUUGUUUCCAAAAUGUCUGUCCAUUCCACUCUGUUUCCAAUUUUAACCUAAAAAUUUGAAAGAAUUUUACUGUGUUUUAAAAUGAAUAAAAAUGAAAACGAAUCAAUGGAGUGUAUUCUUAUAUAUUUUUAUACAGUAUUUUGUAAGAUCUCAGUAUAAGCUGCACGAUUUUUAGCUGUUUGUGUGCAGAAAAUACAUCACUUGUUGCUAUUACUCUGACGUCCACACGGUGGUGUUACUCUGCAAAAUUACAAAUGCCACAACGAAAGAAAAAAAAAGUAAGACAGACUGAAGUCUAAUCUUCUCUUCAGUUGACCCCUGGCCCCAAGUGAUAUAUAGCGGAGAGCCGGUGAGCACUCCAUGAAUCUUCCAUCUCCUGGCCAGGGUAGAUUCUCACCAUAUGUUUCAUUGGGCACCUGGCCAUGCAGGGUUAGAUUGCUCCAUUGAGCUAAACAAACUGAGCUUCUUUUGCACACAAAACUCAGUGUAAGAGGACAAUGAGGGCUGCAUGAGUCCGGUGUUCUGGAUCAAGAGUCUCCAGCACACAUGAACAGCAUCAUGGCUCAUCAGCUAACCUCUGGAGAGAAACUAGUGAAAGAAACAUGCAGAGAUCGCUUAUACUAAACAAAUUAAUGAACUUUCUAUUAAUUUCUUUGGAGAAUCCUAAAAAAAAAUUAUAGUUAGAAUACUUUUUUUUAGAAUAAAUAUCAGAAAGAUUUCUGAAGGAUCAUGUAACACUGAAGACUGGAAGAUUGAUGCUAAAAACACACACAGUAGCAAACUGCAUUUUAAAAUAUAUUCAAAUAGAAAACAGUUAUUUUAGAUUGUAAAAAUACUUCACGAUAUUAUUGUUUUUGCUGUAUUUUAGAUCAAAUAAAUGCAGCAUUUUGAACAGAAGAGACUUUUAGAAACAUUUAAAAAAUCUUACUGAUCUAAAAUUUUUAAAGAGUUUUAGUGUGUGUGUGUG